GGAUUACUGUAUUCUAUGUGCGAGUGUCCUGGACCUGUGAGCCAAUGUAACUACAGUAUGUACUUUGUCCCUGUGCCCUCUCAGGUCCAGUGGGGAAUAUGUUAUUGUAAACCCCGUUCCUGGGAACUUGCAUAAAAAGCCGGCCAGUUGGCCUGAAUAAAAUCAUUCCUGUUGUACCCUUCAUCUAGUUCAGGCUGAUGUUUGGGUAUAUGACUGACUGCUGGGGAAGACUUCUUGUAUGCUGCAUUCUAGCUGGAGAAUAUUUGUCUUGAUACCCGAACUGCAAGCUAUAAUCACUCAGCUCCUAGCAUUACGGGAGGAACCGAAUAUGAAUGAUGGUGAUCUGAUAUACCAGCAUUCAUA